rnacentral:rRNA from 1 species
GGUGUUUACUGUCGAACUGAACACUCUACCGUUUACUGUCUGGUGGUGCUCUUCACCGAGUGUCACCAGUGGUCGGUACGUUUACUUUGAAAAAAUUAGAGUGCUCAAAGCGGUUUUUACACGACCGAAUACUGUUGCAUGGAAUAAUGAAAUAGGACUUUGGUUCUAUUUUGUUGGUCUUCGGAACCAAGGUAAUGAUUAAGAGGGACAGACGGGGGCAUUAGUAUUGCGACGCUAGAGGUGAAAUUCUUGGACCGUCGCAAGACUAACUAAAGCGAAAGCAUUUGCCAAGAAUGUUUUCAUUAAUCAAGAACGAAAGUUAGAGGUUCGAAGGCGAUCAGAUACCGCCCUAGUUCUAACCAUAAACGAUGCCAACCAGCAAUCAGCCUGUGUUCUCUUGAUGACACGGCUGGCGGCUUCCGGGAAACCAAAGUCUUUCGGUUCCAGGGGAAGUAUGGUUGCAAAGCUGAAACUUAAAGGAAUUGACGGAAGGGCACCACCAGGAGUGGAGCCUGCGGCUUAAUUUGACUCAACACGGGGAAACUCACCCGGCCCGGACACUGUGAGGAUUGACAGGUUGAAGCCCUUUCUUGAUUCAGUGGGUGGUGGUGCGUGGCCGUUCUUAGUUGGUGGAGUGAUUUGUCUGGUUAAUUCCGAUAACGAACGAGACUCUAGCCUACUAAUUAGACCGUGGCGUCCUCGUGCCGCCACGGCGCUUCCUAGAGGGACAGACGG